rnacentral:lncRNA from 1 species
GUCCUCAUCAACGACCCUAGGGUCCUCGAUGUAAAUAAGAAAAUUCUCUCCUGGAAAGUUAGUGCUAAAAGAACACUAGAUGGGUGAGAGACGCUGAAGAUCACCAUCAAGUCCUUCAGCGCUGGGGGCAGGCACAAACAGGCACAAACAGACAGCAGGCCCAAGUCCCCUAUUCUUUGUAUUGCUAACAGUCCGGCCCUGCUGAUUCCGGCGCGCGCCAUCUAUCAGUAUGUCUAAUCAGUACGCAUCAUCUAAUUUGGCUUUUUAUUUCAGUUCUUCUGAUUUAGUCAUGAUUUAUAUUCGGAAUUUAAUCUAGAAUUUGUCUAAUUAUUCAACACCGCCUUGUGCAGGGAGUCCAGGAGACGUAGGUUCUCGUAUCACCACGCGUGCCGUCGUCGCCAUCGCCGGAACGGAAUGAGCUUGUCCGCCGCUGCCUUGUCUCGUCGCGCCGGGGCGCCUUUUCGGGGAAGCAGCGCCUCUGCUCGCGGCCCGGAGCCGCUGGGACGCCACCGCAUCCACUCCCCGCGGCGCACUUGGCAUGGCGAUGAAUGGAGAUGGGCGGUUGAGGGCGGCGAUUAGCUGGGACGGUACGUACCGCAGCUGCUGCCGCGGGAGCGGGCUAGUCGUUGGCGCAGACGGCGACAACGGCAUGGCUGUGCGACCUGGUGCUGGUGAUCGGCUUCGAGUGGAGCAAGCUAGGCGGAUCAAGGUGUCCGUGGUCAAUCUCUCUCUCCGGUCCCUUGCGCUGGCGAUGCG